CAGUAGCCGCGGGAAAACGGAGGGUGCAAGCGUUAAUCGGAAUUACUGGGCGUAAAGCGCACGCAGGCGGUCUGACAAGUCAGAUGUGAAAUCCCCGGGCUUAACCUGGGAACUGCAUUUGAAACUGUCAGGCUGGAGUCUUGUAGAGGGGGGUGGAAUUCCAGGUGUAGCGGUGAAAUGCGUAGAGAUCUGGAGGAAUACCGGUGGCGAAGGCGGCCCCCUGGACAAAGACUGACGCUCAGGUGCGAAAGCGUGGGGAGCAACAGGAUUAGAUACCCCAGUAGUCCCUGUCUCUUAUACA
rnacentral:rRNA from 1 species